rnacentral:misc_RNA from 1 species
UAAAUGCGAUACGUAAUGUGAUACGCAAGUUGUAGUGAAUCAUUGAAAUCUUGAACGCAAAUUGCGCUUUUAAGUGAAAGCUUGAAAGCAUACUACCUUGAGGGUGGAACUUUAAUUAUUUUAAUUUUAUUAAAACAUUUUGUGGGUGAGAGUGUAACAUCAUUUUUCUCCCAUUAAAAAAAUAAAAAUGAAAUAUAAAUAUAAAUACAAUUUAUAAAUACAAUUUCACUUAGUUUCAUAUUAAUAAGCCACCUCAUGGUAGUAUGAUAUACCCGCUGAACUUAA